rnacentral:rRNA from 1 species
UAGAAUUGACGGGGCCGCACAAGCGGUGGAGCAUGUGGUUUAAUUCGAAGCAACGCGAAGACCUUACCAGGUCUUGACAUCCCGAUGCUAUUUCUAGAGAUAGAAAGUUACUUGGUACAUCGGUGACAGGUGGUGCAUGGUUGUCGUCAGCUCGUGUCGUGAGAUGUUGGGUUAAGUCCCGCAACGAGCGCAACCCCCUAUUGUUAGUUGCCAUCAUUCAGUUGGGCACUCUAGCGAGACUGCCGGUAGUAAACCGGAGGAAGGUGGGGAUGACGUCAAAUCAUCAUGCCCCUUAUGACCUGGGCUACACACGUGCUACAAUGGUUGGUACAACGAGUUGCGAGUCGGUGACGGCGAGCUAAUCUCUUAAAGCCAAUCUCAGUUCGGAUUGUAGGCUGCAACCCGCCUACAUGAAGUCGGAAUCGCUAGUAAUCGCGGAUCAGCACGCCGCGGUCGAAUACGUUCCCGGGCCUU